ensembl:lincRNA
AACAGUCCAUGUUAAGCACUCAAAGUCCUGAGUCUGGACCAUGCAGGUCAGUCCUGGGUACAGCUGGAUUCUCUCACCUGUUGGAAAGGAGAGGACUGCAGCGGGUGACGGCAGGCAGGAAGGGAACCUUCGGGAGCCUGUCAGUGAAUUGCUCUGAUGGUGCCAGAGGCCAACAGUGGGGACCAAGUGUCCCACAGGCAGAUCCCCAGCGCUGAGGAGGGAAGGAAUGAUGAGGCCCAGAGUAAAACAGGCCACCAGUGUUUGUUCCAAUAGCAAUAACACACGGAGAAAGCCCUCACACUGUGAUGGUGUUUGGUCUCUUUGAAGCUCUGAAAUCCAUGAAUUCCCCAGGGCAGGUGCUAUUAGCUUCCCUUUGGAAGAGAGGAUCAGUGAGCUUCCCAGGAAUCUGUGAGGUGGGGGCCCUCCCCACAUACCAGAAUCACUGAGGCCCGUCCCGAUGCACCCUGUCCUGCUGCACCCUGUCCUGCCCAUGCCCAUCCUGUGCUACCUUUGCCCUGGUGCCAGGAGAAACCUGUCCACCCAAAACAUGCGGAGGCGCCUGGCUGCCCUGCUUACCCUCCCCCCACCCCCCCAGGGCAGCCCAGUGGGCAGGACGGCCUGGCUGGCUCUGCUUGGAGACACUGAGUGUCACACAGCAACAGUAUCCCACCUUGGGCCUUUACCGCAGGUCCUCACCCUCCCACCCCUGCCAUGGCCUCCACUGGCCCAGGAGACGCUUCAGCCUCUUCCUGUCCUCCCCUCCCCUCUCCUUGAUCCUCCCCUCUACCCAGAAACAUUCCUCCUGCUCCACAAAGAAGAGCUCCUCUCUUCUCUGCUCUGUGGCUUUCUGGAAGGAAGCACCACCUCUCUCAGAAAAACAGUGAUCCUCGUGUCACUCCUUGCUCUUGCCCCAUCAAGAUGGAUCCAGGUAAGCACCGUGGCUGGGGGGCUGGGGGGUGAAAGAAGGAAGAGAGAGGGAGGAAAGAGGUGAAGUCAGGAUGAUCAGUAAGCCGUAUCUACUGCACACCAAAAACAUGGUUGUGUGUGUUUGUGUAAAGGUAGUGGCAGGGUCCGCAAUGACAACAAGCCCUUACAACAUGUUACAGUUGGGGAAAUGUACUUCUCCAUCCUUCAUUUCACUCAAUAUUCAACCUGAGGAGUAACACAUUAAAGUGCAGGUCCCACUGUACACACGGGGCCCUGGAGAGCUAGAGGUACAUUCAGGGUAAGGCCAUGGAGAUGGGGCUGGGAUGGAGCCCAGAACCCACCUCUCAGCAGCUGUGCCGUUGGCUCCCCUCAAAAGGAACAAAAGACCAUUCUGGUCUUUAAGAAAUAGCAGGCCGGAAGCCAUGGCUCAGGCCUAUAAUCCUAGGACUCCUGGGGGCUGAGGCUGGUGGAUUGCUCAAGGUCAGGAGUUCCAAACAAGCCUGAGCAAAAGCAAGAACCCAUCUCUACUAAAAAUAGAAAGAAAUUAAUUGGCCAACUAAAAAACAUAUAGAAAAAAUUAGCCGGGCAUUGUGGCACAUGCCUGUAGUCCCAGCUACUCGGGAGGCUGAGGCAGUAGGAACUCUUAAGCCCAGGAGAUUGAAGUUGCUGGAGCUAGGCUGACGACACAGCAAUCUAGCCUGGGCAACAGAGUGAGACUCUGUCUCAGAAAAAAAAAAAAAAAAACCAGCAGGCAAUUCCCACCAAGGGAGCAUUUACAAACACCCAGGACCACUCAGCUAGGCUGCUGCAGAGUGAGCCCACUGCACCCACAGCUGGGCAGGCUGAUGGCCCAGUCCACGUGGAUUUCCUGUAGGAAGGCACCACAGAGUUGAGCCUGAGAGAUUUCCCUGUGGCAAGAGGCAUCUGCAAAGGCCAGGCUCUGAGACCAGAAGGUCACAAGCAGGAGCCAAGAAACAGCUGAGAGACUGAGCAGAGACAAGGCCUGAGAUAAGGAAGACCUGAGGAAGGUGGGGCAGAUGGGGAGGUUGGGGUGGCAGUGGCCUGGAAGUGGAAGAGAACAAUCAGGGUUUGCCCCUGCAAAGGGCCAGACUCAGUAUCAUGGAUUUGGCUGAAGUUGGAAGAACACAGAACUGACAGAGUGGGGACAAGAACCCACAUGUCCUAACUGGCCCCACUGCACCCAGGGAAACCCAGCCAUCUCUCAGAGGAACACAGAGAUGAACCUUGACUUUCAGUACAUGCCUGUUGUUGAGUGAAUGAAUGUAGGAAUAGUUGUUGGCACAGGGAUUGGGGCACAAGAUCAGCGCUAGGGAGAAGACAAGGUUUUCACUGCAGAACAAAAUGACCAAUGCUGAUUCUUUUUUCCCCUUCCUCUCCCACAGGUCCGAAGGUAGGAAUCUUCCCCAACCCUCUCCCCUUUUUCCAUCCCAUUGUCAUUUCCUCCAGACAUCCAGCAUCCUUCCCACACCCUCGGGGAGCAGCC